rnacentral:rRNA from 1 species
UGGGGAAUAUUGGACAAUGGGCGAAAGCCUGAUCCAGCCAUGCCGCGUGUGUGAAGAAGGUCUUCGGAUUGUAAAGCACUUUAAGUUGGGAGGAAGGGCAGUAACCUAAUACGUUGCUGUCUUGACGUUACCGACAGAAUAAGCACCGGCUAACUCUGUGCCAGCAGCCGCGGUAAUACAGAGGGUGCAAGCGUUAAUCGGAAUUACUGGGCGUAAAGCGCGCGUAGGUGGUUUGUUAAGUUGGAUGUGAAAUCCCCGGGCUCAACCUGGGAACUGCAUUCAAAACUGACAAGCUAGAGUAUGGUAGAGGGUGGUGGAAUUUCCUGUGUAGCGGUGAAAUGCGUAGAUAUAGGAAGGAACACCAGUGGCGAAGGCGACCACCUGGACUGAUACUGACACUGAGGUGCGAAAGCGUGGGGAGCAAACAGGAUU